rnacentral:misc_RNA from 1 species
AUUCAUGUAAGAUGCUAGCCAAAGCAAUCUUAUUCUUAUCUCAUUCUUGAAAUCAGUAAGAACUCUGCAGCCUAUAAUAUGAUUAAAUCGUUUCUUACUUACAUGUCAUCCAACAUCAGUAUAAUAAGUGAAUGCGCAAAAUUAUUGCACAAUCAAUCUGACGUGCAUAAUAAAUAAAUAAUGGAACUAAUUUGUGGCUCACAAGAUGGUAAGGAGAAGCAU